rnacentral:rRNA from 1 species
UACGUAGGGUGCAAGCGUUAUCCGGAAUUAUUGGGCGUAAAGAGCUCGUAGGCGGUUUGUCGCGUCUGCUGUGAAAACCCGAGGCUCAACCUCGGGCCUGCAGUGGGUACGGGCAGACUAGAGUGCGGUAGGGGAGAUUGGAAUUCCUGGUGUAGCGGUGGAAUGCGCAGAUAUCAGGAGGAACACCGAUGGCGAAGGCAGCUCGCUGGGACGGUACUGACGCUGAGGCGCGAAAGCAUGGGGAGCGAACAGG